GCGCGAAAACUUUACAAUGCUGGCAACAGCGAUAAGGGAACCUCGAGUGCCAGGUUACAAAUCUGGCUGUCGAGAUGCCUAAAAAGCAUUUCAUAGCAAGGGCCGGGCAAGACCGGUGCCAGCCGCCGCGGUAACACCGGCGGCUCGAGUGGUAACCGUUAUUAUUGGGUCUAAAGGGUCUGUAGCCGGCCGGAUAAGUCUCUUGAGAAAUCUGGCAGCUUAACUGUCAGGCUUUCAGGAGAUACUGUCUGGCUCGAGGCCGGGAGAGGUGAGAGGUACUUCAGGGGUAGGGGUGAAAUCUUGUAAUCCUUGAAGGACCACCAGUGGCGGAGGCGUCUCACCAGAACGGACCUGACGGCAAGGGACGAAAGCUAGGGGCACGAACCG
rnacentral:rRNA from 1 species